UACGAGAGGCCCAAACGUUAUUCGGAAUUAUUGGGCGUAAAGAGCUCGUAGGCGGUUUGUCGCGUCUGCCGUGAAAGUCCGGGCUCAACUCCGGAUCUGCGGUGGUACGGGCAGACUAGAGUGAUGUAGGGAGACUGGAAUUCCUGGUGUAGCGGUGAAAUGCGCAGAUAUCAGGAGGAACACCGAUGGCGAAGGCAGGUCUCUGGGCAUUAACUGACGCUGAGGAGCGAAAGCAUGGGGAGCGAACAGG
rnacentral:rRNA from 1 species